rnacentral:rRNA from 1 species
AGAGUUUGAUUAUAGCUCAGGAUGAACGCUGGCGGCGUGCCUAAUACAUGCAAGUCGAACGAGGUAGCAAUACCGAGUGGCGAACGGGUGAGUAACACGUAGGUAACCUGCCCUUAAGCUUGGGAUACCCAGAGGAAACUUUGGCUAAUACCGGAUAACAACAGAGAAGGCAUCUUCUUUGCUUGAAAGGCCCCUUCAAGGGUCACUUAAGGAUGGACCUGCGGCGCAUUAGCUAGUUGGUGAGAUAACAGCCCACCAAGGCGAGGAUGCGUAGCCGAACUGAGAGGUUGAUCGGCCACAUUGGAACUGAGACACGGUCCAAACUCCUACGGGAGGCAGCAGUAAGGAGUUUUCGGCAAUGGGGGAAACCCUGACCGAGCAACGCCGCGUGAGCGAUGACGGUCCUUUGGAUUUGUAAAGCUCUGUUGUAAGCCAUGAAUGACAGCUUGAGGAAAUGCAAGUUGUUUGACGACAGCUUACCAGAAAGCCACGGCUAACUACGUGCCAGCCGCUGC